rnacentral:rRNA from 1 species
GACGAAUGCUGGCUGCGUGCUUAACACAUGCAAGUCGAACGGUGAAGGGGAGCUUGCUCCCCGGAUCAGUGGCGAACGGGUGAGUAACACGUGGGCAACCUGCCCCUCACUCUGGGAUAACUCCGGGAAACCGGGGCUAAUACCGGAUACGACCGGGAGCGACAUCGCUCCUGGUGGAAAGAACUUCGGUGAGGGAUGGGCCCGCGGCCUAUCAGCUAGUUGGUGGGGUAACGGCCCACCAAGGCGACGACGGGUAGCCGGCCUGAGAGGGCGACCGGCCACACUGGGACUGAGACACGGCCCAGACUCCUACGGGAGGCAGCAGUGGGGAAUAUUGCACAAUGGGCGAAAGCCUGACGCAGCGACGCAGCGUGAAGGACGAAGGCCUUCGGGUUGUAAACCUCUUUCAGCGGGGACGAAGCGAAAGUGACGGUACCCGCAGAAGAAGCACCGGCUAACUACGUGCCAGCCGCCGCCGUAA